AUACGGAGGGUGCAAGCGUUACUCGGAAUCACUGGGCGUAAAGCGCGCGCAGGCGGUCUUUUAAGUUGGAUGUGAAAGCCUAUGGCUCAACCGUAGAACUGCAUCCAAAACUAUUAGACUAGAGUGUGGGAGAGGAAGAUGGAAUUAGUUGUGUAGGGGUAAAAUCCGUAGAGAUAACUAGGAAUACCAAAAGCGAAGGCAAUCUUCUGGAACACUACUGACGCUGAGGCGCGAAAGCGUGGGGAGCAAACAGGAUUAGAAACCCUAGUAGUCC
rnacentral:rRNA from 1 species